rnacentral:rRNA from 1 species
GUGUCAGCCGCCGCGGUAAUACGGAGGGUGCGAGCGUUAAUCGGAAUUACUGGGCGUAAAGGGCGCGUAGGCGGUCGCGCAAGUCGGGUGUGAAAGCCCCGGGCUCAACCUGGGAAUUGCAUUCGAUACUGCGUAACUAGAGUCUGGUAGAGGGAAGCGGAAUUCCGCAUGUAGCGGUGAAAUGCGUAGAUAUCAGGAGGAACACCGGUGGCGAAAGGCGACUCUCUGGCCCGAUACUGACACUGAGGCACGAAAGCUGGGGGAGCGAACGGGAUUAGAUACCCCGGUAGUCCCAGCCGUAAACGAUGGGCACUAGGUGUAGGAGGUUUUUANCCUUCUGUGCCGUAGCCAACGCGUUAAGUGCCCCGCUGGGGAGUACGGUCGCAAGGCUGAAACUCAAAUGAAUUGACGG